UCUCCGUAGGUGAGCCUGCGGAGGGAUCAUUACACAAAAAAUAUGAAGGCUGCAACCGCCAGUUUUGGCGGGGAAGCUGAAUUAUUUUUCACCCAUGUCUUUUGCGCACUUGUUGUUUCCUGGGCGGGUUCGCCCGCCACCAGGACCACACCAUAAACCUUUUUUAUGCAGUUGCAAUCAGCGUCAGUAUAACAAAUGUAAAUCAUUUACAACUUUCAACAACGGAUCUCUUGGUUCUGGCAUCGAUGAAGAACGCAGCGAAAUGCGAUACGUAGUGUGAAUUGCAGAAUUCAGUGAAUCAUCGAAUCUUUGAACGCACAUUGCGCCCUUUGGUAUUCCAAAGGGCAUGCCUGUUCGAGCGUCAUUUGUACCCUCAAGCUUUGCUUGGUGUUGGGCGUUUUGUCUUUGGCUUUUGCCCAAAGACUCGCCUUAAAACGAUUGGCAGCCGGCCUACUGGUUUCGGAGCGCAGCACAUUUUUGCGCUUGCAACUAGCUAAAGAGGCCAGCAAUCCAUCAAGACCUUCUUCUCACUUUUGACCUCGGAUCAGGUAGGGAUACCCGCUGAACUUAAGCAUAUCAA
rnacentral:rRNA from 1 species